rnacentral:rRNA from 1 species
GGACGAACGCUGGCGGCGUGGAUUAGGCAUGCAAGUCGAACGGUAUAAACCUUUCGGGGUUUAGAGAGUGGCGAACGGGUGAGUAACACGUAGGUAAUCUACCCUCAAAACGGGGACAACCCAGGGAAACUUGGGCUAAUACCGGAUGCGUGCAAGCAAUGUUUUGGCUGUUAACGCUAUUCACGGAUGUGAGUAGUGUUAAUGGUUGAGAGCAUUAUUUGCAUAAAAGGUGGCAUUUGCUGCCGUUUGAGGAUGAGCCUGCGUCCUAUUAGUUAGUUGGUGAGGUAAUGGCUUACCAAGGCGAUGAUAGGUAGGCGGCCUUAACGGGUGGUCGCCCACACUGGGAUUGAGAGACGGCCCAGACUCCUACGGGAGGCAGCAGUCGAGAAUAGUCUACAAUGGACGGAAGUCUGAUAGUGCGACGCCGCGUGAACGAAGAAUCCCUUCGGGGUGUAAAGUUCUUUUAUAUGUGAGCAGUGCCCUUUAUAUUAAUAGUAUAGAGGGAGGGAUUUAAGCGUAUGAAUAAGCAACGGCUAACUCCGUGCCAGCAGCCGCGGUAACACGGGGGUUGCAAGCGUUGUCCGGAAUUACUAGGCGUAAAGUGCAGGUAGGCGGAUAGAUAAGUUUAAGGUUAAAGGCUACGGCUUACCCGUAGUAAGGCGUUAGAUACUGUUUAUCUGGAAUGCGNNUGAGGGAGACAGAAUUNNUGGUGUAGCGGUGGAAUGCGCAGAGAUCAGGAGGAAUACCGAAGGCGAAGGCAGUCUUCUAAGCCGAUAUUGACGCUAAACUGCGAAGGUGUGGGGAUCAAACAGGAUUAGAUACCCUGGUAGUCCACACAGUAAACGAUAAUCACUAGGUGUUGGGUUCGUAUAGGACUCGGUGCCGGAGCUAACGCGAUAAGUGUCCCGCCUGGGGAGUACGAUCGCAAGGUUGAAACUCAAAGGAAUUGACGGGGGCCCGCACAAGCGGUGGAGCAUGUGGUUUAAUUCGACGCUACGCGAAGAACCUUACCUGGGCUUGAACUGCUGGUGGUAGAAGCCCGAAAGGGUAACGACCCGGAGCAAUCCGGGAGCCAGUAGAGGUGCUGCAUGGCUGUCGUCAGCUCGUGUCGUGAGAUGUUGGGUUAAGUCCCGCAACGAGCGCAACCCUUACCCUUAGUUGCCAGCGGGUAAUGCCGGGCACUCUAAGGGGACCGCCCCGGAUAACGGGGAGGAAGGCGGGGAUGACGUCAAGUCAGCAUGGCCUUUAUGUCCAGGGCUACACACGUGCUACAAUGGACGGUACAGAGGGAAGCAAGGCCGCAAGGUAGAGCUAAUCCCUAAAGCCGUCCUCAGUUCGGAUUGCAGGCUGCAACUCGCCUGCAUGAAGUCGGAAUCGCUAGUAAUCGCGGAUCAGCUACGCCGCGGUGAAUACGUUCUCGGGCCU